CCGUUCCUUCCACAGGCAUACUUAGUUACAUUCAGCCUUUUGCUGUCCUUACUUAGAGCUUCAGGCAAAGACCAUGAAUGAAGCAUUUCCCCCCUGCAUGUGAGAUUUAAAGUCUGGCCUGCUUGAACGACGUGCUGUCUGCCAUUCACGCUCAGCACAGGAACUUUCAAUUUUGAUCCUGAAGUCGAUCCUGCGAGCAGGAAGGCGGCUCCCAGCAGCACGGUCCCUGAGAGCAGCUGGCGGGGCAUGGUCCUGCCCGAGGCGGCGGGGGGCUCUUUCCGUGG
rnacentral:lncRNA from 1 species